rnacentral:rRNA from 1 species
GAUGAACGCUGGCGGCGUGCCUAAUACAUGCAAGUCGAGCGAACGGACGAGAAGCUUGCUUCUCUGAUGUUAGCGGCGGACGGGUGAGUAACACGUGGAUAACCUACCUAUAAGACUGGGAUAACUUCGGGAAACCGGAGCUAAUACCGGAUGAUAUUUUGAACCGCAUGGUUCAAAAGUGAAAGACGGUCUUGCUGUCACUUAUAGAUGGAUCCGCGCUGCAUUAGCUAGUUGGUAAGGUAACGGCUUACCAAGGCAACGAUGCAUAGCCGACCUGAGAGGGUGAUCGGCCACACUGGAACUGGGACACGGUCCAGACUCCUACGGGAGGCAGCAGUAGGGAAUCUUCCACAAUGGGCGAAAGCCUGACGGAGCAACGCCGCGUGAGUGAUGAAGGUCUUCGGAUCGUAAAACUCUGUUAUUAGGGAAGAACAUAUGUGUAAGUAACUGUGCACAUCUUGACGGUACCUAAUCAGAAAGCCACGGCUAACUACGUG